rnacentral:rRNA from 1 species
GAUCCUGGCUCAGAUUGAACGCUGGCGGCAUGCCUUACACAUGCAAGUCGAACGGCAGCACGGAAGCUUGCUCCUGGUGGCGAGUGGCGAACGGGUGAGUAAUACAUCGGAACGUACCCUGAAGUGGGGGAUAACGUAGCGAAAGUUACGCUAAUACCGCAUAUUCUGUGAGCAGGAAAGAGGGGGAUCGCAAGACCUCUUGCUUUAGGAGCGGCCGAUGUCGGAUUAGCUAGUUGGUGAGGUAAAGGCUCACCAAGGCGACGAUCCGUAGCGGGUCUGAGAGGAUGAUCCGCCACACUGGGACUGAGACACGGCCCAGACUCCUACGGGAGGCAGCAGUGGGGAAUUUUGGACAAUGGGCGCAAGCCUGAUCCAGCCAUGCCGCGUGAGUGAAGAAGGCCUUCGGGUUGUAAAGCUCUUUCGGUGGGGAAGAAAUUGCACAGGAUAAUACCUUGUGUAGAUGACGGUACCCGCAUAAGAAGCACCGGCUAACUACGUG